rnacentral:rRNA from 1 species
UACGGAGGGUGCGAGCGUUGUCCGGAAUCACUGGGCGUAAAGGGCGCGUAGGCGGCCUGAUAAGUAGGGGGUGAAAUCCUGCGGCUUAACCGCAGGGCUGCCUUCUAAACUGUCGGGCUAGAGCACGGUAGAGGCAGAUGGAAUUCCCGGUGUAGCGGUGGAAUGCGUAGAGAUGGGGGAGAACACUCGUGGCGAAGGCGGCCAGCUAGACCAGUUCUGACACUGAGGCGCGACAGCGUGGGGAGCAAACAGG